AGUGGAAUAGCUGAGUCAAGUGGUGGUUCCAUUCCAAUUUAUCUGAGGAAUCUCCAUACUGCUUUCCAUGAGGGUUGCACCAAUUUGUAGUCCCACCAGCAAU
rnacentral:pre_miRNA from 1 species